AAGGAGGCUGUGAUGAUGAGAAACUACCUAUUUUCUGAGGGAAAUGUAAGUUUCCCUUGUGAUUAUAAACAAACCAAUGGAUCCUUCUGAGCUCUCCU